UCCGGUUUGUCACCGGCAGUCUCGCGUGAGUCCCCAACUUAAUGCUGGCAACACGCGACAAGGGUUGCGCUCGUUGCGGGACUUAACCCAACAUCUCACGACACGAGCUGACGACAGCCAUGCAGCACCUGUGCUAGAGCUCCGAAGAGGGGCUCCGCUUUCACGGAGCUUUCUCUAGCAUGUCAAGCCCAGGUAAGGUUCUUCGCGUUGCUUCGAAUUAAGCAACAUGCUCCGCCGCUUGUGCGGGUCCCCGUCAAUUCCUUUGAGUUUUAGCCUUGCGGCCGUACUCCCCUGGCGGGGCACUUAAUGCGUUAGCUACGGCACGGAAGGCGUUGAUAACCUCCCACACCUAGUGCCCAACGUUUAGGGCGUGGACUAC
rnacentral:misc_RNA from 1 species